CAGAGAGUAGUUUAAAUUUUAAAAUAUUAAUUUUGGAGAUUAAUGAUAAAGUUCAUUUCUUUUUCUCUGA
rnacentral:tRNA from 1 species